rnacentral:rRNA from 1 species
AUGGUGGGCAGGCAUGCUGUAAUCCUACGGGAUUACGACCCUCGCCUCAGGCCCUCGGAAAUCAGGUUUGAUUCUAUGGCCAUCUGGGCUAGGAUCAUCAACCUUCCUUUCGAGUGGAUGAACAGUAGAAAGGGUUUGAAGAUUGCGAAGAUGAUUGACAAAAAUUGCAAGGUGGAUGUGGAUGAAGACGGGGAGGCCUCUGGCACCUUCCUUCGGGCAAGGGUUGCAAUCCCUUUUGCCGAGCCAAUUCGUAGAUGGGUCACCAUAUCCAGGGGAGGUGCUACGGAGAAGUUUGAGUUGCAGUAUGAGAAGCUGCCUUUCAUUUGUUUCAGUUGUGGUUUGAUUGGACAUAGCGACUUGGAGUGUCCAAAUCCUGCUGAGCGUGAUUCGGAUGGGAAGCUCCCUUUCGAUCGUGGUUUGAGGGCGCCAGAAGACAGAAGACGACGGAUGCAAUCCUUUAGUCAGGCGGCUGCUUCAGCAUCUUGGUAUAGCGACCCCAAAGAUAGGGGAGGUGGGGGAGGGGCGAAAUCUUUCCCUGGCUCCGCGGCCAGCAGAACCUCCCGAGAAUCGGGGGAAGGGGAGAACGUCAAGUCAGGCGAGCAGGGUUGGCCUCACCUCCACCCAAAGUAA